rnacentral:lncRNA from 1 species
UUAAGGCCUGCUUUUCUGCAAAUGGUACUCUGCUGACUUCCAGGUGCAUCUCAUCUCUUUAGUUGGCAUCCUUCCAGGUGUCUGAACCUUCUUUAAUGCCAGAAGCAUCACACAAGGCCUUCCAGAUAGGGAUCAACAUCUUCACGGGAGGCCGUAAUUCCUGAACAUGGAAAUCAUGUUGGUGAAGUUUAAGACUAUAAUUAAGAAACAGCACAACAAAAAUCCUCAAUCGUCGACCAUCUUUAGUUUUUAAAAGCCAUACAUGAUCCUGUUUUAUUUGUAAUACCCCGCGACCUGCAAUUUCAUGUAAUUCAUGCCUCCUAAAGUCAUUUAAUCAGUCAAAUCUUUUGUUUGAAAUUCAAGUCUGAAAUGCGAAAUAUUUGUAUACCUCAAAAAC